CCUACGGGAGGCUGCAGUGGGGAAUAUUGCACAAUGGGGGAAACCCUGCUGCAGCGACGCCGCGUGAGUGAAGAAGUAAUUCGUUAUGUAAAGCUCUAUCAGCAGGGAAGAAAAUGACGGUACCUGAGUAAGAAGCACCGGCUAACUACGUGCCAGCCGCCGCGGUAAGACGUAGGGGGCAAGCGUUAUCCGGAUUUACUGGGUGUAAAGGGAGCGUAGCCGGCAGUUAAAGUAUGGAGGGAACGGCGGGGGCUCAACCCCCGGACUGCUCUGGAAACUGUACGGCUGGAGUGCAGGAGAGGUAAGUGGAAUUCCUAGUGUAGCGGUGAAAUGCGUAGAUAUUAGGAGGAACACCAGUGGCGAAGGCGGCUUACUGGACUGUAACUGACGUUGAGGCUCGAAAGCGUGGGGAGCAAACAGGAUUAGAUACCCGAGUAGUC
rnacentral:rRNA from 1 species